UCUGACAUUUUUGCCCUUGCCAACAGUGCAAUUUUACAUUUACUUGCUGCUUUCUUGUUUGCAUUCUUCUACUUUCCCCGCUUUUUCCUCCACUCCACAUAUCCAAUAGUCACUCUCUAAAAAUGCUUAAUCCUUCACUCUCCACCGGCGACCCUUACCCUUCCAUUCAUUCAAUCUCGACUCCUUCAAUUCUCUGUUGAAGUGGCUUCUUAGCUUUCUCUCUUCCAUUGAAGCAGUUUAUGAGUUGGUAGAAGUUUUGAAUAAGUAUUUAGUGGUGUAAUGGAUCCCCCUAUCGUGAAGCAACUCGAAGAGGGUGAGGGGAAUGAAUGAAUAUUAGGAUGAAUCGAUGCAUUCUGGAGUAGAUGUUGAGGCAUUCACAGCUGCUCUAAAUAGAGAUAUAGAAGGUGACUCAUCCAAUUCUCGGCCUGUCAGAUAUUUGUAAGUUUUCCCCACUUUAAAAGUAACAAUAUGUUGGAUAUCUAGAAUCUAUGAAUAAAUAAUAAUUGCAGCUAGCCCUUGAGGAAAGCUACAUAGUCAAGAUUUUUAAUCAAACUUUGUUUGGUUGUUUCUUUUAAAAUUGAAUUGAAAAAUGCUCAAUAUUGUUUUCCAUUCUGUGAAUUGUAAAAGGGAAAAAUGUUCACAGAUGUUUGUAAGCUCUGUACGUAUGCUUCCUGUCUUACAUACAGCUUCAGCCAUUCUCUUCCACCUUACCUUUUCCUGUUCCUGUUUCCCGUUUUCCCUCACCGGGAGGGGAGAGAACUGGCUCUUGGCUCUGGUUCCGCGCUAAUGAAACUGUCCAAGAUGCGUUGACACAGAUGGCACGGAACGACAUUGGCUCUUUGGUGGUUUUGUAUCCAGGAGAUAAAGUGCUCAUUUCAGGGAUAAUAACGGAAAGAAGGAUGAAAUGGAUGUUGUGGGGAGUAGACUAUCUCAGGAAAGUCGCUGCACUGCUGCAGAGGGAAGACCUGCCAAGUAUAUAAGAGUUGGAGAAAUCAUGACCAGAACGUUCUUGCUCAGUACUACUUCUUAUGAUGGACAAAGCAGCUAUAUCACAAGAAUAUGUCCUAGCCGUUUUUUUUUGUUAGAAAUAGUUUUGUAUGCAUCUGAGGCAUUGAAUUUUUUACAUCUGAGCCUCUGAGGUGGAAAUAUCUAAGGAGAACGAAACAAGGUUAAUAAUCCAGCAGCUCCACUGACUUUGACAUAACAACAUGAGCCCGACUUGGCAGUGAUGAGCAUUUUAUGGAAACUGCGAAGUUUUGUAGUGACAUAUAGCUGUUAGGAAUUCUUAGGAAGAUUAAAGAGUAGUUUUUUCUAACUUAAGCAUUUUAUGUGAACUUAUUAGUCUUGAAUCAAAUGAAUUAAUUUAGACCUGUAAUUGAUAUUUCCAUUGUGAUAAUAAUAUAGUGAAAGGUAGCAGUCU